AGUAGCUCAGAGGACAGGCUGCUUUUUACACAACCUUGUAAGAGAAUGUCUGUCAAUGCUUUCAGCAGAAUUUAGAAACACAACACUUCCUAAACAGAUAUUUUGAGGCUGUGAGGUUGAAUGUUUGAGAGUAUAUCAGUGUGUUUGUUUGUGGUCUUUCUGUUUCUAGGUGGAAGCUGAAUUAGUGAGGAUGACUCCUGCUCCUGUCAUCUCUAAGCUCCUCACACAUCUUUACCUGCACAUGAGGAAAAUCACUCCUGUAGAAUGCAGAUGUUCAGAGGGAGAUGAUGCCACAUCUGGUCCAGCUGAUGGAAGGUCUUGAAGUUCUCUGACUGGCCUCGACUGAAGAUGGUCGUCUCACUGGAUUUAAGGUUCAGAUGCUCAGUAACAAACUCCACCAAUGAGCCAACAGAUGCACAAUGAGGGACGUCUGCAGAGACUGAGAAAGAGUCUCACCACAUCCUGACAUGAGGAAAAAUACUUUAUUGAAGACUACAAUGAGAAAAACUAUCAGACAGCAGAUGGCUGCAUUCAAGGUGAGCUCUGAACAUUUGAUCUGGAACA